GCCCACGUAGCUCAGUCGGUAGAGCAGCUCAUUCGUAAUGAGCAGGUCGACGGUUCAAAUCCGCCUGUGGGCU
rnacentral:tRNA from 1 species